AUGCAAAGAACUUUGAAAAGAGAGUUAAAGAGUACCUGAAAUUGCUGAAAGGGAAGCGAAGGAAACCAGUGUCAGAUUUGCCUGUAUUUCCUCUUUCUGUCAAGAGAGAGGCGCUGUGGGUAUGUUUGGGCCAACAUCUGUUUGAUUUUGAAUAAAUUGCUUGUAAGGAGGUAGGUUCUUCGGGACCAAUGACUUGCUUGUGUUAUUUAGGAUUGGACAGAGGACAGUCGUUAUGCGAUCGUGAUGUUGGCAAAAUGGUUUUCUUUACCCCGUCUUGAAACACGGACCAAGGAGUCUAACAUAUGUGCGAGUAUAGGAGUGGCAAACUCCCAUGCGCAAUGAAAGUAACAGUGGUAGGACCUUUUUGGGCACUAUCCGCCGGCCACAAUCCUUCGGGAGAAAGGUCUGAGUGUGAGCAUACAUGUUGGGACCCGAAAGAUGGUGAACUAUGCCUGAAUAGGGCGAAGCCAGGGGAAACUCUGGUGGAGGCUCGUAGCGAUUCUGACGUGCAAAUCGAUCGUCAAAUUUGGGUAUAGGGGCGAAAGACUAAUCGAACCAUCUAGUAGCUGGUUCCCUCCGAAAUUUCCCUCAGGAUAGCUGCAAUCGAUUUCAGUUUUGUUA
rnacentral:rRNA from 1 species